AGCAGCCGCGGUAAUUCCAGCUCCAAUAGCGUAUAUUAAAGUUGCUGCAGUUAAAAAGCUCGUAGUUGAAUUUCGGGAUCAAUUUACUGGUCGUGCCUACGGUACGUACUGGUUUGUUGAUUCUCUCUUCUGAGAAGCCGUGAUGUCAUUAACUUGGUGUCGCGGGGAAUCAGGACUGUUACUUUGAAAAAAUUAGAGUGUUUAAAGCAGGCUAACGCUUGAAUACAUUAGCAUGGAAUAAUGAAAUAGGACGUUUGAUCCUAUUUUGUUGGUUUCUAGGGUCGACGUAAUGAUAAUAGGGAUAGUUGGGGGCAUUAGUAUUCAAUUGUCAGAGGUGAAAUUCUUGGAUUUAUUGAAGACUAACUACUGCGAAAGCAUUUGCCAAGGAUGUUUUCAUUAAUCAAGAACGAAAGUUAGGGGAUCGAAGACGAUCAGAUACCGUCGUAGUCUUAACCAUAAACUAUGCCGACUAGGGAUCGGAUGAUAAAUUUUAAUAACUCAUUCGGCGCCUUACGGGAACCU
rnacentral:rRNA from 1 species